AUCCUUGUAGUGUAAAAAUACUAACACGCAUUAUUUUCAUUAAUGAGAAGAAAAUUAUUUCCUAAGAUA
rnacentral:tRNA from 1 species